UUUAUUGGAGAGUUUGAUCCUGGCUCAGGAUGAACGCUGGCGGCGUGCCUAAUACAUGCAAGUCGAGCGAAUGGAUUAAGAGCUUGCUCUUAUGAAGUUAGCGGCGG
rnacentral:rRNA from 1 species